AAUAGAUACCCGGGUAGUCCACGCCGUAAACGAUGAGUGCUAGGUGUUGGGGGGUCCACCCCUCGGUGCCGAAGUUAACACAUUAAGCACUCCGCCUGGGGAGUACGGUCGCAAGACUGAAACUCAAAGGAAUUGACGGGGACCCGCACAAGCAGUGGAGUAUGUGGUUUAAUUCGAAGCAACGCGAAGAACCUUACCAGGUCUUGACAUCCCUCUGACCGGUCUAGAGAUAGGCCUUCCCUUCGGGGCAGAGGAGACAGGUGGUGCAUGGUUGUCGUCAGCUCGUGUCGUGAGAUGUUGGGUUAAGUCCCGCAACGAGCGCAACCCUUGAACUUAGUUGCCAGCACCUCGGGUGGGCACUCUAGGUUGACUGCCGGUGACAAACCGGAGGAAGGCGGGGAUGACGUCAAAUCAUCAUGCCCCUUAUGACCUGGGCUACACACGUACUACAAUGGCCGGUACAACGGGUCGCGAAGCCGCGAGGCGGAGCCAAUCCUAUCAAAGCCGGUCUCAGUUCGGAUUGCAGGCUGCAACUCGCCUGCA
rnacentral:rRNA from 1 species